rnacentral:tmRNA from 1 species
GUCGGCCUGCGGCGAAGUUAAAGGCGCUUAGGUGACGCGCAGAAGCCUGUCGUUGGGCGCGCGUGCCACCGAAACUAAAAUGCAGCGACUACACGCGUAGAAGCCGGUCUAGAGGAGCUUCGGACGCGGGUUCGACUCCCGCCGCCUCCACCA